CCUACGGGGGGCUGCAGUGAGGAAUAUUGGUCAAUGGACGAGAGUCUGAACCAGCCAAGUAGCGUGAAGGAUGACUGCCCUAUGGGUUGUAAACUUUUUUUAUAUGGGAAUAAAAUGUUCCACGUGUGGGAUUUUGUCUGUACCAUAUGAAUAAGGAUCGGCUAACUCGGUGCCAGCAGCCGCGGUAAUACGGAGGAUCCGAGCGUUAUCCGGAUUUAUUGGGUUUAAAGGGAGCGUAGGUGGAUUGUUAAGUCAGUUGUGAAAGUUUGCGGCUCAACCGUAAAAUUGCAGUUGAAACUGGCAGUCUUGAGUACAGUAGAGGUGGGCGGAAUUCGUGGUGUAGCGGUGAAAUGCUUAGAUAUCACGAAGAACUCCGAUUGCGAAGGCAGUUCACUGGACUGCAACUGACACUGAGGCUCGAAAGUGUGGGUAUCAAACAGGAUUAGAUACCCGGGUAGUC
rnacentral:rRNA from 1 species